rnacentral:misc_RNA from 1 species
GAUGAAGAACGUAGCGAAAUGCGAUAAGUAAUGUGAAUUGCAGAAUUCAGUGAAUCAUCGAAUCUUUGAACGCACCUUGCACCCUUUGGCAUUCCGAAGGGUAUGCUCGUUUGAGUGUCAUUGUACUCUCACACUUCCAAUUCUUUGGAUUGGGAGCGGUGGACUUGGGUGCUGCUGCUUACCGUGGCUCACCUCAAAUGUGUUAGUGCAACCGUUGGUUAGACAUAGUACAGCGUGAUAAGUAUCUUCGCUGGCGCCUCACUCGAGGGUGGCUGAUCAGGGCUCUAUGCUCCCAAUCGUCUUCGGACAAUCACUGACAACUUGACCUCAAAUCGAGUAGGACUACCCGCUGAACUUAAGCAUAUCAAUAAGCGGAGGA